GUGAGGAAUUUUCCGCAAUGGGCGAAAGCCUGACGGAGCAAUGCCGCGUGAAGGAUGAAGGCCUAUGGGUUGUAAACUUCUUUUCUCAGAAAAGAAUUAUGACGGUAUCUGAGGAAUAAGCAUCGGCUAACUCUGUGCCAGCAGCCGCGGUAAGACAGAGGAUGCAAGCGUUAUCCGGAAUGAUUGGGCGUAAAGCGUCUGUAGGUUGUUUAAAAAGUAUUCUGUCAAAGAUUAGGGCUUAACCCUAGAUAGGCAGAAUAAACUUUUAAGCUAGAGUUUGGUAGAGGCAGAGGGAAUUCCCGGUGGAGCGGUGAAAUGCGUAGAUAUCGGGAGGAACACCAAAGGCGAAGGCACUCUGCUGGGCCAAUACUAACACCGAGAGACGAAAGCGAGGGGAGCAAAUGGGAUUAGAAACCCCGGUAGUCC
rnacentral:rRNA from 1 species